rnacentral:rRNA from 1 species
UAGGGAAUCUUGCACAAUGGGCGCAAGCCUGAUGCAGCAACGCCGCGUGCGCGAUGAAGGCCUUCGGGUCGUAAAGCGCUUUUCUGGAGGACGAGAAGGGACGGUACUCCAGGAAGAAGGCUCGGCUAACUACGAGCCAGCAGCCGCGGUAAAACGUAGGAGCCUAGCGUUAUCCGAAUUUACUGGGCGUAAAGCGCGUGCAGGCGGCUUGGUAAGUUGGCUGUGAAAUCUCCCGGCUCAACUGGGAGGGGACGGUCAAGACUGCCCGGCUGGAGGCAGGGAGAGGGAGGUGGAAUUCCCGGUGUAGUGGUGAAAUGCGUAGAGAUCGGGAGGAACACCAGUGGCGAAAGCGGCCUCCUGGCCCUGACCUGACGCUGAGACGCGAAAGCUAGGGGAGCGAACGGGAUUAGAAACCCCGGUAGUCCUAGCCGUAAACGAUGUCGACUGGGCGGCGGUGGGGUAAAAGCCAUCGGUGCCGCAGCUAACGCGCUAAGUCGACCGCCUGGGGACUACGGG